ACGCAGGGCGCCGAGCGCAGACAGAGAAGCAAAGCCACGUGAAGAGAGACGCGAGCUGUCGCAAACCUGAACAUCGCGAGUGGCAGAAAAGAGCCAGUGGAGGGAGGGAAGCUGGAAAUGCAGAGUGGCCAGAGGAAGGCCGCGGAGGGCGGAGGGAAGCCCCCGGGGAGGGGGAGAGCGGUGUGCGUGUGGGAGGUAAUGACCUUGAGGGCAGGGAAGGUGGCGGCAGCAGGUCUCCUCUGGGAACUGGGAGGCCGGUCAUCAGGCCCAGGAGAGUGGGUGUGUCUGCAGAAGGGGUGGAGUAGGUUUGAGGGAAGUAAAAGUCUGGCAAGAAGGCUUAGGAAAACGGGACGGGAAACUGCGCCAAGGGCUGGAAGGCAGUCUUUAAAGCCCAGCUGAGCUUGGAGGCCGUGACAGUUGGGCCGGCCUGACCCUCCACAUGAGACGAUCUUUCUGGACCACGCCCUGCAUCCCAGGUACAGGCGCGAAGAAGCCCCAGAUGAACGAGCCUGGCUGUGGCUCUGCACAACAGAGCGUGAAGAACUUUCCAUCUUUUCCUCCAUUCUGUGGUUCUGGGUUUUCACUUGAAACUCUUCAUCCAUUUGGAAUCGACUUUGGCCCCUAAUGGGCCGGUUCCCAGGUGGUAGCAGGAGCCCCGUCUCACCAGCGUGGGAGCGCAGCCGGGAGGCUCAGGCGGCCAAGGUCAGACAGAGAGCUGGGGGACCACACGGCCUCAAGUCCAGUUACUCUUUACUAGACUCCAGCUGCCCCACAGGAGUCUUCGUUUUCUUAAGCCCUCACCUAAAAGCUUUGAAAACAU